ensembl:lncRNA C3P1 complement component 3 precursor pseudogene
AGUCAGUGGCCCUGGCCGGCUCAGACAGGACUCUGUUCUCUCCAGCUCUCCCAUGAGAAGAACACGGUGCUGGGCUUUCGGGUUCACAGGAUGCUGCAGGCGGAGUUCCUGCAGGCCGCCCUGGUCACCAUCUACGACUACUACGAGCCUUUGUACAAGACAAAGCUGGAAUCUGUGGAGGUCUCUGCCUCCAACCCUUACGUCUAUUACAACACGCAGCUCGAAGACAUCAUUAAGAGUGGUACGGACCCUGCCACACCCCUGGCCAUGAAGAAAUUCGUCUCCCAUGCCACUUGCCAUGACUCCCUGGGGUUGCAAGAACAGGAAUCGUACCUCAUCAUGGGCCAGACGUCAGACCUGUGGAGAAUCAAAUCUGAUUACAGCUAUGUUCUGGGCAAGGAGACGUUCCUCAUCCUUUGGCCAGCAGAUGGAGAUGCCAGCAAGAAAGAAUUGCGGGACCAACUGGAGGAAUUUUUGGAAUAUAUGCGCACCCACGGCUGCCAGUCCUGAGCCUCUUCUGCUUUCAGGGAGGUGUCAUCAGGCAGCUCUGGGCCACUGGGUUUAACCCCAAAUAAAGAGCACAGGAUAUGACACCCAAA